CUUUACACAUGCAAGUCGAACGGCAGCAUAGAGAGCUUGCUCUCUGAUGGCGAGUGGCGAACGGGUGAGUAAUAUAUCGGAACGUGCCCAGUAAUGGGGAAUAACUAGCCGAAAGGUUAGCUAAUACCGCAUACGACCUACGGGUGAAAGCAGGGGAUCUUAGGACCUUGCGUUAUUGGAGCGGCCGAUAUCUGAUUAGCUUGUCGGUGGGGUAAAAGCCUACCAAGGCAACGAUCAGUAGCUGGUCUGAGAGGACGAUCAGCCACACUGGAACUGAGACACGGUCCAGACUCCUACGGGAGGCAGCAGUGGGGAAUUUUGGACAAUGGGGGAGACCCUGAUCCAGCCAUCCCGCGUGAGUGAAGAAGGCCUUCGGGUUGUAAAGCUCUUUCGAAAGUGAAGAAAACUUAUCUCCGUAAUAUGUUAUAAGUAUGACGGUAACUUUAGAAGAAGCAACGGCUAACUACGUGCCA
rnacentral:rRNA from 1 species